UCUGCAUUAAGGUUAAAUCAAGUCAGUUUCAAAAACAAAGAUUGAAAUUCACAAAAAUAUAAAAUGCUGUAUUGCAAAACACAAAUACGAUAUAAAGAAUUUCAUCGAAUUCAGUUUGUACAUCGUGGUAAAAGCUUUCGUCGUUACCAUCGUUUGCAACACACGCAAUCGUUCUUGUCGCUGAAAAUAAUCGCCUUUAAUCUGAAUUACUUCGUUUAGUUAACCAACAAUCUACUUUUUCACGACCAAAAAACCAUCGUCAUCAUCGCUUAUCGCCUUCAUUUGUUUACUGCGUCUUCGUCUAAGAGGACCUACCUACUUCGAAACAAUAACAAUACGUUUAUGCGCUCCGUAUCUACACCAAACAAAAUUUAGAAUCAAUUUACAUUAUUUGUAUUUUUAAUCAAUAAACACGUUAAUCAUUA